AUUGAAAAAGACUCGCUGUCUCUUAAAAUUAGGCAUAAGGUGGGUUCAUGAAACAUUGUGGUUCUCACAACAGGCGGUGAUUGAUUCAAUAGAAGGGAAUCUUUGCCACUCAGGUUGAACUCUCCAAUUUCUGGUGUUCUCUUACACCUGUCCACAGCUUCACCAGGGGGUCUAGAGUGACCAUCUCACACUUCUGGCUGUAACAAAUGCUCCCUGUGUGAAUUGGGCAGUACAAGUGAACCUGUCCUUCUCUGUGCUCCAAGCAUUCCAAGCCUUGUGGUCUCUUAGAAAAAGAGGAUGGGGGAAAGAUGCUGGAGGUCAUGUAGUCCAGCGGACCCCAACUCACAGUCCAUGGACCAGCACUGGGCCGUGGAAUGCCAGAAAGCUGCCCUAGCAAACAAGGGAAGCCCCAUCUGUGGGAUGCAGGCAGCAUGCAAAACCACACCCCUUCCGGUCGGCAGGAAAACCUUUCCCCACGGAACCGGUCCCAGGUGACCAAAGGGUUGGGCCCCCCUGAUCUAGUCCACCCUCCUUCCAGC